rnacentral:misc_RNA from 1 species
GAAAUGCGAUACGUAAUGUGAAUUGCAGAUUCCGUGAAUCAUCGAAUCUUUGAACGCAAAUUGUACUUUCCAGUAAUCUGGGGAGUAUGCUUGGUUGAGGGUCAUUAAAAUAACAUUCGUGAAUUUUUUCGCGGAUUUGAGUUUUCCAGUAUUUAUUAUAAUGAUAAAUGUUGGUGACUUUAAAAUUAUUUAUAACUUGGUACAAGUUGAAAACGUUCUAUAUGUGUGGUUCGCUGACAACUUGUCCAUCUCUAUAUACUAUGCGCGCACUUGGUUUUUUUACACUCUGUGCGAACAUAUAUUUUUUUUAUGACCUCAGCUCAAGCAAGAAUACCCGCUGAACUUAA